rnacentral:tRNA from 1 species
AAAGAAUUAGUUAAAUUAUAACCUAGGUUUGUCAAACUUAAAUUAUUACUUGUAAUAUUCUUUU